GUUUAAACGUCACAGGCAAGUUAGAGAUCUUCCGUACUGAGAACCAAAUUCAUCCAGCAAGUGUGUUGUUGAUGUCACUAUGAGGAAGUGAGCAGGAAGUCAGUGCUGUAUUCAUCUUUGUUACUGCCUCACUUGUGAACGUGAGAGCAAGAGUAGAGACUGAGAGAGACGGAGAAGCACGAUGGCUGAGUUCAGAUGGAUUCAAAUGUUUCUGUUCCUGAUACUGACGCUUCAGUUUAAAGCAGUGACUGGACAACAUGGCCCCACAUUCCUGAUCAGACUUGGUGAUGAGGUCACUUUGCCUUGUCAAAAUGUGACAGUUGGUCAGCCUGAGUGUAACAGAACUGACUGGAUCUUCAGACGUUUGAAUGUUGCUGACGCAGUCAGGCUGAUUCAUCUUGGUUUGAUUGAAGAAAAGCACAAAAAUACAUCAGACAGACUGAGUGUUACAGCAAACUGUUCUCUGGUCAUAAAGGACAUCACAGUUCAUGAUGCUGGUCACUACACCUGCAGACACUACACAUCACAAGACCAACAACACUGUGGAAAAUCCUGUUCUUCUCUGUCCGUCAUCAACAUGACUGAACAUGAGAACAAUGGUACAGUCAUCUUGUCCUGCUCUGUGUUGGAGUAUGAUCCAUGUACACACACAGUACAGUGGAUCUAUGAGGGUGAAGAGAAAUCCUCAGACAUGCAGAUAUCACCACCAGGCUGCACUGCCACUGUGACAUUUACAACAUCUCACCUUAAUCAGAAGUUUUUUGAGUCAUUAAAGUGUAAUGUGAUGAAUAUGAACAAUGGGAAAGUGCAGCUGUUUCCUUUCAGCCGUCAGUCCUCAGGUGGGACAACAGGUUCAUCAUUGCUGUAUAUUAUUGUUCUUGCAUGUUUAGUAGCACUCUUAAUUAUUGUAGCAUUCGUCAUAUGGAAGAAAAUGAAAGGGAAAAAAACACAAAGGGAAGACAAUGCUGUUGGUUUAAACACUGAAGGAUUAGGUUUAAACCCAGCUGAGAUUCAGUCUGAUCCAGGAAACAGUCAGGAGAUGGAUGAUCUUGAGGAUGGUGUUAACUAUGCUUCCAUCAACUACACUAAGAAGGCCAACAGUAAGGCCAGUGCUCAGGUCCACGAUGAUGAAGGUACCACUGUGACAUACAGCACAGUGAAAGCUCCCUCAGCUUCUCUUGAAGUCUCCACUGAUCCCAGCAACCUGUAUUCCACCAUCACCAAAUAAGAUACUGUAUUUAAAGAUUACAUGUUUUAAUACUGUUAUUUGGAUCUUAUAUUUAGAGUUAUAUCGUCUACUUCAACAUUACAUGGGUAUACUGAAGGGUUUAUAAAAUAAAUCUAGUUUAUUUUACUGUCUAUUUUGUUUAUUUGUUGUUUAUGGUUUUGGAAAAUAAAUAAAUUAAUGAAUAAUUAAA
ensembl:lncRNA